GACGAACGCUGGCGGCGUGCUUAACACAUGCAAGUCGAACGGAAAUGCCCUGCUUUUGUGUGGUGCUCGAGUGGCGAACGGGUGAGUAACACGUGAGUAACCUGCCCUUUACUUUGGGCUAACUUCAGGAAACUGGGGCUAAUACCGGAUAUGAUCUCCUGCUGCAUUGUGUGCGUUGGAAAGUUUCGGCGGUUGGGGAUGUACUCGCGGCUUAUCAGCUUGUUGGUCGGCGAGUGGCUUACCAAGGCUUUGACGGGUAGCCGGCCUGAGAGGGUGAACGGGCCCAUGGGGCCUGAGAUAGGCAGCAGAAUGCAAUGGGAGGCAGUAGUGGGAAAUCUGGCAGAAUGGGCGGACGUCAGAGGAAGAAACGCCGGGUGCGGGAUACUGGGUUGUGAGUGGAAAACAGCUUUGGCAGGAAACGAAGCGUGAGUGACGGUAAUGGGCAAAGAAGCAACGGCUAACUACGUG
rnacentral:rRNA from 1 species